CAUUUCUCCAAUCACAAUGCUUGACAGUCAUUAUGAGAAAAAAAAAAUGGUGCAUUUUCACAAUCACUAAGCUUAAUUAGUCUAUGGACCAUCCAAAGUAGGUGGUGUCAACCAAUUAUUUCACUGCUGGUGUAAUAGCGAUACAUAUUAGAGCCAACUGGUCAUGGAUACCCACUUAAAAUAAGGCUGUGAUCACUGUAUAAUAUUUCUUGGGUUCCUUAUCGGGUGCAUGUAUGUCCUCUAUAUAUUUGUAUGUGCAUAUGUAUAUUGUUACAUGAUCU
rnacentral:misc_RNA from 1 species